rnacentral:lncRNA from 1 species
ACAGAACAAAUGGUCUCUGCCAGUUCUCAGAGCCCAAGGAGUGGGUGAGAGAAGCAGGUCUCCCCUCAGCACAGGCAACCUUGGUGAUCUGAGGGAGACCAACCAGCCUGUACAUAAACAGGUUUUGCUUAAAAAGUGUAGUUGCUUUAAAAGAUUACUUUAAAUUAGGGAAAAUAGAUACUUAUUUUAAAGCACCUAUUGUUUGGAAAUUCAUAGUACGCAACGGACGCCCCAGUGCAAGUCACAGAUCCUGUGGCACGCAAUUAGGUCUUUGAGGAAUCACCACACUGUCUUCCACAAUGGCUGAACUAAUUUACAUUCCCACCAAUACUGUGUUUACUCUCCACAGAAAACCGGGGCAGUUUUUAGUAAUGUUAUUCAGAACAUGUAACUCUCACAGUCAACUUCAGGGACCUCUCAUCUCAUGCAGAGUAAAAGCUGAAGCGAUGUAAAGUCAACACGACCUAACAUCCACUACCUCUCAACCACAUCUCUGCCCAUUCCUCCUGCACCGUACCCCAUUCACUCUGCUUCUGAGACAAGGACCUUCUCACUGUUCCUUGAACAUGCCAAGACCAUCCCUGCCUCCAGGCCUUUGCACUUGCUAUUCCCUCUACUUGCCCUUCUCUUUGCCCAGACAUUCCCUUGUUUCAUUCACUCACUUUCUUUAGGUCUCUGCUCAAAAGUCACCUUAUCAGUGAUGUCUUCCCCUCCCACCCUAUAUAACAUGGAAAUUAACGAAAUCUGCUAUUUCCUACUCCCACUUAAGUUUGCUUUAUGUUUCCUCCAUAGCACUCACCACCAUCUGAUGUUCCAUAUAUUUACUUGGUACUUUUGUCUACUUUGUAUCACCCCUACUAAAAUGAAUUCUAUGCAGGCAGGGGUUUUGUUUGCUUUAUUAUUAUUAUUAUUAUUAUUUUAGUCUCUUUUUUUUUGAGACAGAGAUUCACUCUGUUACCCAGGCUGGGGUGCAGUGGCGCGAUCUCAGCUCUCUGCAACCUCCGCCUCCUGGGUUCAAGCGAUCAUCUCACCUCAGCCUCCUGAGUAGCUGGGAUUACAGGUGUGUGCCACCACAUCCAGAUAAUUUUUGUAUUUUUAAUAAAGACAGGGUUUCACCAUUUUGGCCAGGCUGGUCUCAAACCCCUGACCUCAGGUGAUCUGCCCACCUCAGCCUCCCAAAGUGCUGGGAUUACAGGCAUGAGCCACCACACCCGGCCUUGUUUGCUUUACUUAACAUUGACUCCCGGGCACCUUGAAGAGCACGUGGCACAGGUAGGCCCUUAACAUAAAUGUGUUGAAUAACUAAAUAAAUGAAUGAUGAGUGGCAUCACCUCACAUCACUGCCUCAUGAACUCCACAGCCCAAACAAUCUCAAUUCUCUGUCCUGCACCUCCCACCUUGCAGUUCAUGUCAACCAUCCCUCAGGGGGCACAGGGUUGAAGGUACAGAGGUGCUGAACUGGACUGGAGGAUUCAAGAUCCCAGCUCUCUCUUCUUCAACGACAUGGCAAAAUUCCCCUGCUUUCUCCAAA